rnacentral:rRNA from 1 species
GACGAACGCUGGCGGCGUGCUUAACACACGCAAGUCGAACGGAAAGGCCCUGCUUUUGUGGGGUGCUCGAGUGGCGAACGGGUGAGUAACACGUGAGUAACCUGCCCUUGACUUUGGGAUAACUUCAGGAAACUGGGGCUAAUACCGGAUAGGAGCUCCUGCUGCAUGGUGGGGGUUGGAAAGUUUCGGCGGUUGGGGAUGGACUCGCGGCUUAUCAGCUUGUUGGUGGGGUAGUGGCUUACCAAGGCUUUGACGGGUAGCCGGCCUGAGAGGGUGACCGGCCACAUUGGGACUGAGAUACGGCCCAGACUCCUACGGGAGGCAGCAGUGGGGAAUAUUGCACAAUGGGCGGAAGCCUGAUGCAGCAACGCCGCGUGCGGGAUGACGGCCUUCGGGUUGUAAACCGCUUUCGCCUGUGGCGAAGCGUGAGUGACGGUAAUGGGUAAAGAAGCACCGGCUAACUACGUG